GACGAACGAUGGCGGCGUGCUUAACACAUGCAAGUCGAACGGAAAGGCCCUGCUUUUGUGGGGUGCUCGAGUGGCGAACGGGUGAGUAACACGUGAGUAACCUGCCCUUGACUUUGGGAUAACUUCAGGAAACUGGGGCUAAUACCGGAUAGGAGCUCCUGCUGCAUGGUGGGGGGUGGAAAGUUUCGGCGGUUGGGGAUGGACUCGCGGCUUAUCAGCUUGUUGGUGGGGUAGUGGCUUACCAAGGCUUUGACGGGUAGCCGGCCUGAGAGGGUGACCGGCCACAUUGGGACUGAGAUACGGCCCAGACUCCUACGGGAGGCAGCAGUGGGGAAUAUUGCACAAUGGGCGGAAGCCUGAUGCAGCAACGCCGCGUGCGGGAUGACGGCCUUCGGGUUGUAAACCGCUUUCGCCUGUGACGAAGCGUGAGUGACGGUAAUGGGUAAAGAAGCACCGGCUAACUACGUGC
rnacentral:rRNA from 1 species